GCCGCGAUGGCGGAACAGGUAGACGCGCGAGACUUAAAAUCUCGUGGUAGCAAUAUCGUGUGGGUUCGAUUCCCUCUCGCGGCAC
rnacentral:tRNA from 1 species